rnacentral:rRNA from 1 species
ACGGAAGGCAGCAGUGGGGAAUAUUGGGCAAUGGGCGCAAGCCUGACCCAGCAACGCCGCGUGAAGGAAGAAGGCUUUCGGGUUGUAAACUUCUUUUACCAGGGACGAAGGAUGUGACGGUACCUGGAGAAAAAGCCACGGCUAACUCCGUGCCAGCAGCCGCGGUAAUACGGAGGAUGCGAGCGUUAUCCGGAUUUAUUGGGUUUAAAGGGUGCGUAGGCGGCCCCUUAAGUCGGCGGUGAAAUUUCCGGGCUCAACCCGGUCACUGCCGUCGAAACUGGGGGGCUUGAGUGCGUUUGGGGUGGCUGGAAUGUGCGGUGUAGCGGUGAAAUGCAUAGAUAUCGCACAGAACGCCGAUCGCGGAGGCAGGUCACCAAGCCGCAACUGACGCUGAGGCACGAAAGCGCGGGGAUCGAACAGGAUUAGAUACCCUGGUA